UCUUGCACAUUUCCUGUGUCUGGACCACGGGGCAAUGGUGUCUUCCAAUUGAAGGCUGUUCGUAAUGGAGAGGACAGCUGGUUUUCAUUUUUCCUUCCUCGUGAUUGGGAAAUCCUAAUAAUGGAAGCUCUCCUUCACGUUCCUGGUAAUGAAGAGAAGCAGCAAACAAUACGGAUUAGUCUAUCUGAAAACUAUCCGCCUCCAGAUUGCAAGGCAUGCAUCUCAUGCCCACAGGCAUCUCAAAAGCCAGAGAACAAAUGAAAAGUUGCAUAUCAUCAAGAAUGUGGGAACAUUUUUUCAGUUUUCGUUUUCGUGUUUCACACAAGUCCCUGUUCUUCCAGCAUCAGGAUUGACAAAAGUUAGAUCUGAUCUGCUCAUAAAUAUUUGUUAAACCUGGUGAUCAGGUUUAACGCCAUGCAAUUUGUUCCAUUCAUUUUGAUGGGGUUUAAAUUUCCAGGAUAGAUUUGGUACAUUCAUUCUAGCAGAUAUUGAAGACCAAGCAAUAGCUAAGAAUUGAGCAAGUAUUCUGUUUCCUAUAGAGCAUUUGUUUCGAG
rnacentral:misc_RNA from 1 species